GACGAACGCUGGCGGCGUGCUUAACACAUGCAAGUCGAACGGAAAGGCCCUUCGGGGUACUCGAGUGGCGAACGGGUGAGUAACACGUGGGUGAUCUGCCCUGCACUUUGGGAUAAGCCUGGGAAACUGGGUCUAAUACCGAAUAGGACCACGCGCUUCAUGGUGUGUGGUGGAAAGCUUUUGCGGUGUGGGAUGGGCCCGCGGCCGAUCAGCUUGUUGGUGGGGUAACGGCCUACCAAGGCGACGACGGGUAGCCGGCCUGAGAGGGUGACCGGCCACACUGGGACUGAGAUACGGCCCAGACUCCUACGGGAGGCAGCAGUGGGGAAUAUUGCCCAAUGGGCGCAAGCCUGAUGCAGCGACGCCGCGUGAGGGAUGACGGCCUUCGGGUUGUAAACCUCUUUCACCAGGGACGAAGCGUAAGUGACGGUACCUGGAGAAGAAGCACCGGCCAACUACGUG
rnacentral:rRNA from 1 species